CUCCAUCAGUAUUUAGACAUGGCCAUAAGCAAAGUGGAAGUUCUCUCCUCCCUUCAGAGAAAAGUACAUCCUUCUUCGAUGGUCUCUUUUUCCACUGGAGUCUCACUCACAGAGAUUCUUCAUGUAGGAUUUUUUUUUGCCAUAAUGUCUUGGCUUUCCAUGCCUGAAAUGCUCUCCUGGGCUUUUCAGCCACAUCCAAAUGCCUUAAGGGAUGAUUCUGAGCUUAGCCAUGGGGUCCCCUGGGGACAGAGAUUGUGUCAUGUUCAACUUUCAGAUGUUUUCUUCUCCCACCCUUUGGAGCAAAGAUUUCUCUAGCACUCAGCCCUGUACGUGGAGAACGUUGGUGGACUGAAUUCGUGAGUCGGCAAGGAUCACUCUUUCCUGGGAGGAAAUGUUUGCAGCCUGGGUCUCCUGGCCUUUUUCCAACCCGAGGACCACCUGCCUCCCUACCCUGACCUUGAACGUGAUCCUGUGUGGCCUCUCACAGCUGCUGCACCCACCCCACCUCAGCUGCGGACCUUGAGCUACAAAGCGACACCCUGGAACAAAAGUGUUUGCAUCCCUACACUCAGAUAUAACUUAUGUGAAUACCAAGUGGCAGUGUCCAGACUACUGUGAGAUCCCAGUGAGGAGGAUGGUGGCCAGAUUCAGCAGGUCUGGACAUGAAGGCAUCCACAGCGGAUAAGAGAAACCUUGAUAACUGCUCCCCAAGUAACUCACCUGACUUAUUGGAGAGGUGCUUGCAGAGGCAAGGCUGCAGUACAGAGUCCAUUACUUCUGUUAUGCUGCUGACUGGGAAGAAACAAGGACAGAAGACUUGGACAAUAACUCUCCAUUCCCUUGAGCCUGUGGGGUUUCUGAUGAGAAAACUUCUAUCAAUCUAAUUGGAGAAUGUUUAAAGUAACAGCACUGUAGCUGUGUUCCUGCUCACCUGCUAAAAAAUCAUGUUAUCUGAUUCCUGGUGAAGGUAACAAUGCUAGUUCAUAACAAACACAGACACUUUUUCCUGAAGAUGGAAUUGUAGUUGUCAUUGUUCUUAAAUGAUCACAGGAGGGGAGUGCUGCACUUUUAUGUGAAUGAGAAAUAAAGAUCUAUCUUGUUAAAGCCAUUGAAUUUUGGAGACUCUUUUUAAAUCGCAGUUCUUAUCACCUUAAUGUAAACAUUACGGAAAGUUUCACAAACAUAAACAACUGAAAUAUUGCCAGCUAUUAUUAUCAAUUUUAUUCUAGUAUUAAUUAUUCUCACAUUCAGUCCAGAAGUUAAUGUAAAAUAAAUGAAACUAGGAGGCUCAAUGGAGGAUAUGGACAUUUUUUCCUAGCUAUUUCAGUUACUGAUUUGAAAUCUUAUUUCUAGUAGUUAUAUUUUAUCUGCUUUGUCAACCUAGUGAUAAGGCAAAACUGAAAAUAACAAAAACCCUUAAAAGUAGAAUUCAGAAUAAAAUAUAUAUGAGAAGGGAAGCCAUUCUAGCUUUCCACAGAUGGAGGAUCCUAUGAAUUCCAAUUUAAGGGAACUGGAGAAGAAUGAUUAGCUUGCACUUCUAUGCAAUCCGUGACAGGUAUACAUUCUGGAAAACACGGGAUUUCCAGGGACUAUUUCAGAAAAACAUGUGAGCUGUUUUGAUUGCUGCAUGUAUGAUCGGAAACAGGAUAUGAAGAAGGGUUCUCUGUUACCUUUUAAAACUAUGGGUUCCUCUAUCUGUGUUCCUCUAUGCUCAUAUCCUAUCAGCUUUUCUCAUUAUUCUACCCCAAAAUGACCUAAAUGAAACUAGUAAGAUUCAGAGAAAGGGAGAAAAAUGCUUGGAACCUCCACAAAAGGACAAGUUGGGUCACGGUCUCGGAGGGCAGGGCUCUCUUUGUUUUUCCUCUUUCCUUCAUGGACACCACCUUGUAUGGUUCCAACAAACCCUGCAUGUACAGGAAAACCUGCAUCUCAUUUCUGCUGAAAUAUGUUUUCAAUUUAGGAUUUGAGUUUCCAGAUUGACUUGUGAACAUCUAAAGAACUCAAUGUCACCAUGACAUAAUGUUCCCCAAAGGCCAGUUGCCCAUCAGCAAAGAAAUGGGCAGUGAUUAGCUGGCUGUCAGUGGUCAAAGGUGCUGAAGUGACUGCGGAAACUGACGUGGGAAAAAG